rnacentral:rRNA from 1 species
CCUGAUGCAGCGACGCCGCGUGAGGGAUGACGGCCUUCGGGUUGGUAAACCUCUUUCAGUAGGGAAGAAGCGAAAGUGACGGUACCUGCAGAAGAAGCGCCGGCUAACUACGUGCCAGCAGCCGCGGUAAUACGUAGGGCGCAAGCGUUAUCCGGAAUAUUGGGCGUAAGAGCUCGUAGGCGGUUUGUCGCGUCUGCCGUGAAAGUCCGGGGCUCAACUCCGGAUCUGCGGUGGGUACGGGCAGACUAGAGUGAUGUAGGGGAGACUGGAAUUCCUGGUGUAGCGGUGAAAUGCGCAGAUAUCAGGAGGAACACCGAUGGCGAAGGCAGGUCUCUGGGCAUUAACUGACGCUGAGGAGCGAAAGCAUGGGGAGCGAACAGGAUUAGAUACCCUGGUAGUCCAUGCCGUAAACGUUGGGCACUAGGUGUGGGGGACAUUCCACGUUUUCCGCGCCGUAGCUAACGCAUUAAGUGCCCCGCCUGGGGAGUACGGCCGCAAGGCUA